UUGGAGGGCAAGUCUGGUGCCAGCAGCCGCGGUAAUUCCAGCUCCAAUAGCGUAUAUUAAAGUUGUUGCAGUUAAAAAGCUCGUAGUUGAAUUUCGGGAUCAAAUUGUCGGUCGUGCCUCGGUACGCACUGGUAUUAUUGGUUCCUACCUUCUGAAGAACCGCGAUGUCAUUAAUUUGGUGUCGUGGGGAAUCAGGACUGUUACUUUGAAAAAAUUAGAGUGUUUAAAGCAGGCUUACGCUUGAAUACAUUAGCAUGGAAUAAUGAAAUAGGACGUUUGAUUCUAUUUUGUUGGUUUCUAGGAUUGACGUAAUGAUUAAUAGGGAUAGUUGGGGGCAUUAGUAUUCAAUUGUCAGAGGUGAAAUUUUUGGAUUUAUUGAAGACUAACUACUGCGAAAGCAUUUGCCAAGGAUGUUUUCAUUAAUCAAGAACGAAAGUUAGGGGAUCGAAGACGAUCAGAUACCGUCGUAGUCUUAACCAUAAACUAUGCCGACUAGGGAUCGGAUGAUGUUAAUUUUUUAAUGACUCAUUCGGCGCCUUACGGGAAAC
rnacentral:rRNA from 1 species